GACGAACGCUGGCGGCGUGCUUAACACAUGCAAGUCGAACGGAAAGGCCCUGCUUUUGUGGGGUGCCCGAGUGGCGAACGGGUGAGUAACACGUGAGUAACCUGCCCUUGACUUUGGGAUAACUUCAGGAAACUGGGGCUAAUACCGGAUAGGAGCUCCUGCUGCAUGGUGGGGGUUGGAAAGUUUCGGCGGUUGGGGAUGGACUCGCGGCUUAUCAGCUUGUUGGUGGGGUAGUGGCUUACCAAGGCUUUGACGGGUAGCCGGCCUGAGAGGGUGACCGGCCACAUUGGGACUGAGAUACGGCCCAGACUCCUACGGGAGGCAGCAGUGGGGAAUAUUGCACAAUGGGCGGAAGCCUGAUGCAGCAACGCCGCGUGCGGGAUGACGGCCUUCGGGUUGUAAACCGCUUUCGCCUGUGACGAAGCGUGAGUGACGGUAAUGGGUAAAGAAGCUCCGGCUAACUACGUG
rnacentral:rRNA from 1 species